rnacentral:misc_RNA from 1 species
GUGAUUGUUUAUGUUUAUUCAGAAGGUUUGAUGCUUCAUGCAAGGUGGUUUACGUGCCCCGGCGGCGGGCGAGCCCGCCGAGGGGAAGGGACGAUGGGGUGUACAUAGGCAAGGGUGGCAUGCCCGACGCCGCACGGUCUCCCGCGCGGCGCCGCGAGCAAGCAGUAAUGAUCCUUCCGCAGGUUCACCUACGGAAA